GUGCGUUUGGAAAAAACGAAAAAAAAGAAUGAUUCACUUUGUUAAAACACUGUUUGGGAGCCUCUUGGUGUAAAAGGAAACUAACCGCUUAAAACACAAAAAAGAAAAGAAAAGAAACUAAAGAUUGCUUCACGGAGAAAGGAGAGAGAGAGAAAAGAGAGAGGCAGAGAGAGUUCUCCGUUCCCUCGCCAGACUUAGAGCACCGGUGCAAGUAGAAAGAAAAAUCAAUGGGCAUCAACACCGCUAGGCUAUAUAUCUGCCACAAUCAGAUCGUCGGAACCGGAUCCAGGAAACACCAUAGAAGAUCAAAUUCUACCUAGGCUUUGUCUCUCAGCGUUCUGAGGAAUACUGCAAUUGGGGGAGGUGGUGGAGAUAUUGGAAAGAAAAUAAAUCAUGUUGGUGGUGAUGUCAAUGGCGAUGAAGAUGAUUACUUUGAUGACUUUGAUGAUGGCAAUGAAGGGGAUGGAGGAGGCCUAUUUAGGAGACACAAAUUUCUUGAGGAGCUUUUUGGUCAUAAAUUCGUAGAUGAAGUGUCAAAUGAAUGGCAGGGGACAAUGAUGGAUUUGCCUGUUGGAUUCCAAAAAGCUUAUGAUAUGAAUCUAUAGCAAUGUAUAGAUCUUCUGAAGUUGGAUAUGUGACUAUUAUGUACCUCUCGACAAGGUAAUGGGUUGUUGCUGGUAGUGAUGGUGGUCAUGGCCUUACCCUUCAUGGAUGUGUUUUUCUAUUUAUUGUGUGUUUGUUAUUCUUUGGGUUGCUGUUGUAUUUUGGUAAUUAAUGUUAUUGCUUGAGUAUUAAUAAUAAAUACCAUCACUAUAACUGGAAGUAUCUCCUAUCACUAUCACUAUCACUAUAUAUAUAUAUAUAUAUAUAUUUUUAGAUAAGCUUUAGCUUUGGGGAAAUUUUUGUCUAUUAAUAUAUUUGUCCAACCUGGUAAAUGCUAUGCUUAUGUCUUUUGGAGAUUAAUAUAUGCUUUUUGGGGAUAUUUAGAUUUGCUUAAGAAUUCUAAAUCAUGGUUACUAUUUACCUAUGUCAUAACAUGCAUGCCACCAAUUAAUUAAUUCACAAAUUUAGAAGACUAAUACCUUAUUCACAAUGAUGUGAUCUUUUGCCCAUAUUUGUUAAAUAAGUGAUUGUGUUCUAAUUCUUAACCAAAAUUAUUUGACCCAUGAAAAUUAAGGCUAUUUUAGUUCUCUUUGUGUUUCAGAUCUAAAUGAAGCUACAAGAAAGUUAAUUUGGAAGACAGUAUAUGACAAGGCUUUGCAUCUUCUACGUUUAUAGAUAUGGUCUUUUUCAAAUUUCAAUUUCCGUUGAUUGAUAUGGAUUAAAAUUCAGAUUGAAAUUGGUUUAAAUAGAAUAGAGCCUCAAAGUUGAGCUUUUAUUA